ACUCUCGGCAACGGAUAUCUCGGCUCUUGCAUCGAUGAAGAACGUAGCGAAAUGCGAUACUUGGUGUGAAUUGCAGAAUCCCGUGAACCAUCGAGUUUUUGAACGCAAGUUGCGCCCUAAGCUUCCGGGCACGUCUGCCUGGGCGA
rnacentral:rRNA from 1 species